rnacentral:rRNA from 1 species
UACGUAGGGUGCGAGCGUUAAUCGGAAUUACUGGGCGUAAAGCGUGCGCAGGCGGUGAUGUAAGACCGAUGUGAAAGCCCCCGGGGCUUAACCUGGGAAUGGCGGUUGAAACUAGUCGACUAGAAUCUGGCAGAGGGGGGGUGGGAAUUCCACGUGUAGCAGGUGAAAUGCGUAGAGAUGUGGAGGAACACCGAUGGCGAAGGCAGCCCCCUGGG